UGAAAUCUUUAUUGGUUCAAAAUAUAUGAUUUUUGUACAGCAAAAUUAGAGAUUGUACUGUGCAUUGUUGACGCAUUAACGACACCACAGAAGAGCAUUCGGUAAACCAUAUCUAAUUAUCCUUUACAGCGGCUUUUCUUUAAUAACAAUGAAUUUGACGAAGACAAUCACCUGGGAGCUGAAUUCCGGAUUAUAAAUAAUAACCCAACAAUGAAACUCGGAAAACACAAAGGAUAUUUAAGUCAUGCCCAUUCUAAUGAUUCCCGAUGGGGCCAAGAAGCAGUUAAGAAACGUACUGGGCAAUGCUAUAUUGAAUAAGGUAAAUGUGAAUGAAGUUCAGAGAAAAAGACCCUUAAUUAAAUCCCAAAUUUUUUAAAAAGCAUUUCAUUCAUGCCUGAUGUUGAUCAACUGAAGCAGGUGCGUUAUACACUGUCACGUUAGAAGAAUAGAAUAUUCAAGUCUCAUUUGGAUUAAGCAAUCAAGAACGAUAAUACCAAAAAUGUAAAUAACAAUAAUUUAAAAAAAAAAACAACAUAAAAAAAAUGAAUUAAUUAAGGAACUAAGUAAACUUUAAUUCAAUUUUAAUUAAUCCAGCUAUCAAAAUUUAUUUUUAGGCCUGCCUAAGGUCUGCCACAGAUCUG